CGUUAAUCGGAAUUACUGGGCGUAAAGCGUGCGCAGGCGGUUUUGUAAGUCUGUCGUGAAAGCCCCGGGCUCAACCUGGGAAUUGCGAUGGAGACUGCAAGGCUUGAAUCUGGCAGAGGGGGGUAGAAUUCCACGUGUAGCAGUGAAAUGCGUAGAGAUGUGGAGGAACACCGAUGGCGAAGGCAGCCCCCUGGGUCAAGAUUGACGCUCAUGCACGAAAGCGUGGGGAGCAAACAGGAUUAGAUACCCUGGUAGUCAAGGGCG
rnacentral:rRNA from 1 species